ACCAGAACGGAUGGAGCUACCAUUGGCCAUGAGGGAAUUAAAGAUGGAAAAGAAUAUGUAGCACCUGUCUUUUUCAUAACUAGUGAACUAGUGUACUUAAUAUUAAAAGAUUACUGAUUGUUUAAAAAGUAAAAAUAGAAAUGUAUUAUGAAGUUUAUAAUAUAUGAAGAUAUAUAAAACAUAUGAAAAAGACACAAUGAUCAAAAUAAUAUAGUAGUGAUCUGAAGAUAGACAAAUAGUUUAAUAGACCAAAAUAG
rnacentral:lncRNA from 1 species